UACGAAGGGGGCUAGCGUUGCUCGGAAUCACUGGGCGUAAAGCGCACGUAGGCGGCUUCUUAAGUCAGGGGUGAAAUCCUGGAGCUCAACUCCAGAACUGCCUUUGAUACUGAGAGGCUUGAGUCCGGGAGAGGUGAGUGGAACUGCGAGUGUAGAGGUGAAAUUCGUAGAUAUUCGCAAGAACACCGGUGGCGAAGGCGGCCAACUGGACCAUUACUGACGCUGAGGCGCAAAAGCGUGGGGAGCAAACAGG
rnacentral:rRNA from 1 species